rfam:Bacteroidales bacterium 43_8 Ley3_66761_scaffold_7537, whole genome shotgun sequence.
GAGAGCCGGAUACGCCGAGAGGUGUAAGUCCGGUUCGGGGGCGAGUUCUUGGAAACCUGCCGUAGAAAUACGGUAAGGCGCCGGGUGCUUAGCCUAC